rnacentral:lncRNA from 1 species
UUUUUUAUUAACAUUUUUUUAUUAUAUAGUAUAAUAUCAUAAAUUAAAAAUAAUAUUAACUAAAAGUUAAAAAAAUAAUAACUGAUUAGUUAGAGAAAUAUUAGGAAAUCAUAAUUUUUUUUUUUUUUUUUGGAAAUCAUAAAAUUAGUUAUGGAAAUAAUAUAAUCUUAAAAUUAGAUUUGGAAAGUAUCCGAUGUAUGUAUCCAAACCCAAUUUAGUAUCCAACUUUGAAGUAUCCAAUUGUUAAAAUCGGGUUAAAUUUUCAAUUUUGAC